rnacentral:tRNA from 1 species
GCCUGUGUGGCUCAGUCGGUUGAGUGUCUGACUUCAGCUCAGGUCAUGAUCUCCUGGUUCAUGGGUUCAAGCCCGUGUCAGGCU